CCUGGUGCCUAUGGCGCAAUGGAACCACCCCGAACCCAUCCCGAACUCGGUCGUGAAACAUCGCUGCGGCAAAGAUAGUCGGAGGGUUGCCUCCCGCUAAAAUAGCUCGGCGCCAGGC
rnacentral:rRNA from 4 species